rnacentral:rRNA from 1 species
UACGUAGGGUGCGAGCGUUAUUCGGAAUCAUUGGGCGUAAAGCGCGUGUAGGCGGCCCGGUAAGUCCGCUGUGAAAGUCGGGGGCUCAACCCUCGAAAGCCGGUGGAUACUGUCGGGCUCGAGUACGGAAGAGGCGAGUGGAAUUCCUGGUGUAGCGGUGAAAUGCGCAGAUAUCAGGAGGAACACCGAUUGCGAAGGCAGCUCGCUGGGACGUUACUGACGCUGAGACGCGAAAGCGUGGGGAGCAAACAGG